GCGACAUGCUCUCUCUCUCUUGGACUGCUCCUUUAAAAAACCCCAGCAUUCCCAAAUAUUAGCAAAAAGUUUCAUCAUCUGGCUAAGAAGGACAGGAAAAAAUAACAAUUCUCUAGAGGAUGUUUUUCCUUUCUUAAUGAUUUUAUUUUUGGACUUUUAACUAGCUUCAAUUAAUCUAUUUUGAUAGUUUGAUCAAGAAAAAAGAAGGAUC
rnacentral:lncRNA from 1 species